rnacentral:rRNA from 1 species
AUUGAACGCUGGCGGCAUGCUUUACACAUGCAAGUCGAACGGUAACAGGCCGCAAGGUGCUGACGAGUGGCGAACGGGUGAGUAAUGCAUCGGAACGUGCCCAGUCGUGGGGGAUAACGCAGCGAAAGCUGCGCUAAUACCGCAUACGAUCUAUGGAUGAAAGCGGGGGAACGAAAGGCCCCGCGCGAUUGGAGCGGCCGAUGUCAGAUUAGGUAGUUGGUGGGGUAAAGGCCCACCAAGCCAACGAUCUGUAGCUGGUCUGAGAGGACGACCAGCCACACUGGGACUGAGACACGGCCCAGACUCCUACGGGAGGCAGCAGUGGGGAAUUUUGGACAAUGGGCGCAAGCCUGAUCCAGCAAUGCCGCGUGCAGGAAGAAGGCCUUCGGGCUGUAAACUGCUUUUGUACGGAACGAAACGGUCCGGGUUAAUACCCUGGGCUAAUGACGGUACCGUAAGAAUAAGCACCGGCUAACUACGUGCCAGCAGCCGCCGUAACAC